UUCAGCUGCUUCGCCAGGGCGGAGAGAUUCCAGAGGGAACGAAACCGAAAGUGCGUCUGAACGGGGAGCAGUUUCAGGCGUUGUUUCUGCCGCCAUCAUAGGAAAAGCUCAACUUUUUACAGCGCGGUGGUUUUGUAGUUGUAUUCGAUGCUUUCAGUGUUUUUCUUCAGCAAGUUUCUCUCCGAUCUGCUGGAUCAGCCCGUCAAACUGCUGAAGAAGAAGAAAGGUAAAUGGAGGAUGAAUGCACUGCAGUCACAACACGGAGCAACACAGGGGGCUGAUUUUGUUCAGAAGUGGGGGGGCAGAGCUGAGGGUCUUUAUUGAAACGGAGGGAAGUCAGCAUCUCUCUGUGCUCUUGGGAGUGUGUCGCUCUCCUCUCAGAGCAGACAUUCCCCACUGCAGAGGAGAUGCGCUCCGAUGGAGCAGAGGGGAAAUCUUCUUCACAGUAAGCCGCCGUGUUUCCUCUUCGGACGCUCCCGCAUGGAGGAUGUGCUCCCUGCCAGCUGAGACAGGCCUAGGUUAACCUCACCUGUCCAAGAAGACCUAUCUCAGAGGAAUCAAAAGAAGAAUGGAAAAAGAGGAGAGAAUGGAGGAGAGAGAAAAAAUCUUAGAAGAAAGAGAAAGGCAUCUGAAUCAGAAAGAAAUUCAUUUUCUAGAAAAAGAAAAACAUCUGGAUGGGAGAGAGACUCGUUUAUUAGAGAGAGAAAAGCAUCUGGAUGGGAGAGAGACCCGUUUGGAAGAAAGAGAAAAGCGCUUGGACGAAAGAGAUAUUCGUUUGGAUGAGAGAGAAAAGCGCCUGCAAAGAAGAGAGAGACAGACAGACCCAAGAAAGUACCGCUUGUAUGGGGGAAGUACGUGGGAGUACAUACAUGACAGAGAACAUGAUCUGGAUUCGAGAGAGGAUGCACUGCAAGUGAGAGAAAGAGAGCUGGAAAGGAGACUAAGAGAUCUAAAACUAACAGAAAGUAGUGUGAAGGGAAAGCAACCACCGACAGAAGAAAAACUCAUUUCACAUGGGUCUUUGCCGUCCCCAAUAACAAGUUAUCCAUAUAUCUUCCCCCUCAAAAAACGAAGAGGAAGCAUUGGAGAACCUCCAAACUUGGGAGAAGAAAAAAGCCCACCAAAUCCAGAGAAACCUGCAACUGAACCUGACCCUGUUGCCCAGAGCUGAGUUCAGUCUAGAGACACUAGAGAUGACACCAGGAAUCACGUUGGAAGCCUUUAACACAAUUGCAGUUUUCCGGUUUUCCACAUCAUGUUUUUAGUUACAGUUUAUCUAGCAGAGACAGAGCUAAAGAUUUGUCCCACAUAACGAGUCUCAUAAAAUUACAAAGGAACAUAUGCACUCUUUAGUUCUGAGCGUGUGUUUGUGUGUCUAACAAAAUUGUAUAAGACAGGAAAAUAGAUAAAUGGAAGAAAAACUGUGACAGUUGUGUUGCAGUGGGCAGAAAACAGAUGAAACACAUGAUAAGACACACAAGCGCUAACGUUAUUCUAUUUAGCUGAAUGGCCAAGUCAGGAAUGUUUCAGUCAGGUUUUUAUUAAAAAGACAAGGAACAGCCCAGAAUAAAAGCAACUAUUCAAGUACAAAAUAAGUUUAUUUAAGUAUCUAAAAGUAUUUUAUUUAAUUAAGAAAAUGUAAUUAGGCCAUGAUAUAUCUUUUUGGCUAUACUAGCCACUACUACAAUGGUGUACACGUUCUAUGUAAAUAUGUAUGUGUCUAAGAGUGUGUGUUAGGGUGUUCUAGGUAGAUUCUCAAAUAAUAAAAGUAUGUAAGGUAGAUCCCUAUGAUGGACUGGCGACCUGUCAAGGGUGUAUCCUGCCUUCUGCCCGAUGACAGCUGGGAUAGGCUCCAGCUCCCCCGCGACCCAGAAGGAGAAGCGGCUUAGAAGAUGUGUGUGUGUGUACUGUUCAUCUCCAUAAAGGCCUUCAUGGUGUUGUA